UAAGCGAGUUAUAGGACAGAAAAAAAACAUCAUUUAAAAAAAUGUGCUUUAUCUGCAUUUAAAACAGAAUUAGUCUUGUAAUUAAAAAAAAAAUUGACAAUUAAAUUGAAUUUACUGGAUCCAAUACUUCAUUAAAGAAAGGGGGGAGUCACGAGGGUCUAUAAAUACAAACUCAUCGUUUAUGUAAUUUAUCAAUUAUCAAAAAUUAUUUUGAAACAUUCGGGAAACUCCUGAUGAACCGACUUCUCUAAAACUUCUUCACAGAGCUUGAAAACACUAGUUUUAGUAAUGCACUAGCAUUAUCCUUAUGAAACAAAGAAGCAAGUGAGAGUGAGAGACCAGAAAAACAUGAAGAAAAAGUGAGUCACGUUAUGUUGAAAUUAGUUGAUAUUAUUGACAAACCACAUGAUUCCCCAGAAGACCAGCCCACAAAUUCACCAAAAAGCGUUGCUGAAAUGCCCUCGGAAUUAAAACAUUAGCAAAAAUGCUAAUUUUUCGUACUAAAUACAAACAUCGCAACAUUCUUCUAGAUUUUUUAAUGAAAAAGCA